rnacentral:lncRNA from 1 species
AUUGUAGAAAAUCAGUUGGCUGUAAAUGUAUGGAUUUAUUUCUGGGUUUUCUGUUUUGUUCCAUUGUUGUAUGUAUCUAUUGAACAAAUCUCAUAUACUUGUAGAUAAGCUUUUUUUAUUUAAAGCAUACAAAUUCAAAUCUUUCAAGCAGAAAAUUCAGUCAAGUGAGAUCCAUUGGUGGUUUGAGUUCAAAGUCAGUGAGCAAAUGGAAAUCAUUGCGGCAUCUCUCUCAUUUCCCUAGUGGACAUUACAUUACAGCCUUUAAUGGCUUAAAUAAACAUGUAUAAUGCACAGUAUAAAUUUGAAAAGUAGUCAAAAUCCUCUCUAUCCUCCAUCUUUGAACAAACUGUGCUGCCUCAUUUGCAGAGUUGAUUGACAUUAUCAAGCAUCUCAACUCGAUUGGCUCUAAAUUUGGCAAUGCCUGAAGAGAGUUUGAUAAUCUCAAA